GAGAGGACCUUCUCUGACUGGAGAGCUGCCUGUGAGCUGUGCAGAGGGCACCAGGGCUGCAGCCUUCUCGAGCUGUCACCGUGUUGGGCGGGCUCUGGGUGGUGCAGCUGCUCUUGAGUCUCCCCUGCUCCUGCCCACCUGCCUAGGGAUGACACCAUCCACAGCAGGCUGGAUCCUCCCACAUCAAUCAGCAGGCAAGAUAUGCCCCUCAGGACAUGCCCACAGGCCAGUCGAUGAAGAUGCUUCCUCAACUGAGGUUCCCUCUUCCCAGGAGCCUGGCAUAGUCACCAUCAGAGAGGCUCCAUCCAGCAACUGAUGGAAACAGAUGCAGAUACCCACAGCUAAACAUUCAGUGGAACUUGGUGAAUCCUGUGGAAGAAGGGGAGGAAGGAUUGUAGGAGCCGGAAGGAACAAGGACACCACAAGAAACCCACAGAACCAACAAACCUAGACUCAUAGAUAUUGAAACGACAAUCAGGGAGCCUGCAUGGGUCUAACCUACACCCUCUGCAUAUAUGUUUUAGUUGUAUAGCUUGAUGUUUUUGUGGGGACUCCUAACAGGGGGAGUGGGGGCUGUUUCUGAUGCUUUUGUCAGCUUUUGGGACCCUUUCCUCCUACUGAAUUGCUUCAUCCAGCCUUAAUAUGAUGGGAGGUACCUAGUCUUAUUGCAACUUGAUAUACCAUGUUUGGUUGAUAUCCCUGGGAGGCCUGCCCUUUCUUGAAGGGAAAUGGAGGAAUGGAUUGGGAAGAAGGAGGGAGGCACUGAGAGGGAGAGAAGGGAGGGGAAACGCGAGUACAGAUGUAAUAUAUGAGAGAAUGAAUUAAUAAUAAAUGUGGG